GCAUGUAGUUCAGUGGUAGAGUACUUGCCUAGCAUGUAUGUAAGCUCUGGGUUCAAUCCCUAGUACUGCA
rnacentral:tRNA from 1 species